UUUGAGGCUUCAGUAACACUGCUGGUAUGUGACAACAGCAUGAGGCCGAUCUAUCAAACACAUGUUAAUGCACGUCAAAAUGUUGGCUCCUGAAAUUCAGUGGUAUAUCAUGUAGUCUGACAAACAGCACAUCGGCUACAAAUCGGCUACAUAGAUUGUGAUAAUGCUUAUACUUGGAUAGACACCUCGGUUACAAUCAGGGAUUAAGUGGAAACGAGGAACCUUUAUCCAGCAAUUGUUAGUGAAACUUUACAUUCUAGCCACGAUUGAGAGCCAUGAUACACUACACCCCCCUGUGGAUGCUAAGCAACCAGACACCAGGGCUCUCUGUGCCUUCCAUUAGGGGAAACAGCCUUCUGACCAGCACUCAUUCACUGGCUUCACUGGCACAAGGCCUCUUUUUCCUCAUGUGGGAUGUGGUCAUAGCUGGGCAGACCAGGUCAACGCCCAAAGCACACUUUUGCACCACACACAUAUCUCUGAAAUGGAAACUCACAGUAGGAUUUGCUUUGCUUUUUUGUUUGGAUUAGUGUAUUGUGGUUAGACUAUAUUAGUUGAGCUCAGUGGAAAUAUAGUCUAAGAUGCAGAAAAGACUUGCCAUUGGUAUUUGGCUCUUGUUAAUACUCUAACCAAAUAUUUAAAUUUAAAUAAAUAAUAUCUUUAUUUUUAAGAGGUGAUGUAAAAGUCCUUUAGAUUCGGUACUAGUUUCUAAAUGACUUGCUCUAAAUGCCAAAAAUAAUUAUAUUAUGUUAGUAACACCAAAAUCAUGGGUUUGAUCCCCAGGGAACUUUGGAUAAAAGGGUCAAUAAGAGCGUCAAUGUUAGAGAAAAGGGAACAAAGAAAAGUUCUUUGAAAUGUUUUUUUAUUUUUUUUUAUUUACAUUGGUUUUAUAUUAUUUUGAAAAUCUUUUAUCAUGUUUUUCAUGUCAUGUAAUUUAAGCAUAAAUUAAAAAGUAAUAUUAUAUAACAUAUACCUUGAAUAUAAUCAUCAUUAAAAAAAAAAAGUAAUAUAUUUUUAAAGAAAACUUUUUUUUAAAUAUCAUUUUGGUGUAUAAUAAUAGCU